rnacentral:tRNA from 1 species
UACACUUUAAUUUAGGGUGAAUAAAUGAACUUCUAAUUCAUUAUAAAGAGUAA